rnacentral:RNase_P_RNA from 1 species
ACAAUAGUUUUUCCUGUCGCGGCUUAUUUCAGAUAAGACGAGGAAAGUCGGGGCAACGCAGGGCGCCAUACUUCCUAACGGGAAGGCUGCCGGAAACGGCAGACAGCAAGCGUCACAGAAAAUAACCGCCUGCUUCGGCAGGUAAGGGUGAAAACGCGAGGUAAGAGCUCACGUUGCGACAUGGCGACAUGACGCAAGGACAAGCCUUAUGGGUUGAAAGACCAAAUAAACCAUGACAGGGGCUGCCCGUCCCGUUUUCGCUUCGCGAAAUUCAUGGAGGGUAGGUCGUUAAAGGUUACAGGCGACUGUAAUCAUAGAUAAAUGACAGGAGCGCAGCAUGCUGCGUAACAGAAUCCCGCUUAUAAAACUAUUGUUGCU